rnacentral:rRNA from 1 species
AAUGAACGUUUGCGGCGUGCCUGAUGCAUGCAAGUCGAACGCUCUGGUGAUCCGCAAGGAUUAUCAGGGAGUGGCGAACGGCUGAGUAACGCGUAAGUGACCUACCUCCGAGUGGGGAAUAACUUGUCGAAAGGCAAGCUAAUACCGCAUAUGCUGGUAAGUGUAGGCUUAUCAGUAAAGCUCUAGGGCGCUUGGAGAGGGGCUUGCGUCUGAUUAGCUAGUUGGUAAGGUAAUGGCUUACCAAGGCGAUGAUCAGUAGCUGGUCUGAGAGGAUGGCCAGCCAGACGGGGACUGAGACACGGCCCUGACUCCUAUGGGAGGCAGCAGCAAGGAAUUUUGCGCAAUGGGCGAAAGCCUGACGCAGCGACGCCGCGUGGGGGAAGAAGGCCUUCGGGUUGUAAACCUCUUUUCUCGAGGAAGAAUAAUGACGGUACUCGAGGAAUAAGUCUUGGCUAACUACGUGCCAGCAGCCGCGGUAAUACGUAGAAGGCGAACGUUAUUCGGAUUUACUGGGCGUAAAGCGGGUGCAGACGGCCCCUUAAGUCGGGUGUGAAAUCUCUUGACUCAAUCAGGAGGGGUCAUUCGAUACUGAGGAGCUUGAGGGCGGCAGAAGAAGGCGGAAUUCCCGGUGUAGCGGUGAUAUGCGUAGAUAUCGGGAGGAACACCAGUGGCGAAGGCGGCCUUCUAGGCUGUUCCUGACGUUGAGACCCAAAAGCGUGGGGAGCGAAACGGAUUAGAUACCCGUGUAGUCCACGCCCUAAACGUUGGACACUAGGUAUGGGGGGUAUCGACCCUCUUCGUGCCGAAGCUAACGCUUUAAGUGUCCCGCCUGGGGACUACGGCCACAAGGCUA